ensembl:lncRNA
UGAUCUUGCCCUAGAAAGUUACUGUAAUUCAGUUCAAUGGGAAAAGUGAUUAGACAGUCUAGACCAAUGCAAUGGCACCAGCAAAAUUACGAACCUGUGCUGUCAGGGGACAUAGACUGGACGUGAGGAGACCACCCAAUUCCAAUCAUAUUGAAUUUGGAAAUGAGUAUAGAAAUGGUUGGAUCAGAGCAAGAUAUUCUUGAGAGCCUAUUAUUAUUUCUCUAAGAAGUUAAAGAUCCUUGUUGCUAAGCAGCUAAAUCUAAAAUUUAGUCACCUGAGAGACAAAAGGGGGAGGGCUUACAUUUCCCUUUGUUCUGUGGUCACAGCUGCAAACCUUUGUUCAUUAAUAAAGGGUGGUACAAACCAUCUAGACAGAAAGGGCCAUGGAAACUACUGUUUCUUCUGAUGGAAGACUCUGGAAAGCACAAGGGAAGUUAUAAGAAGAGCAUAUAAGGAAACUUGAAUCAGGGCAAAGAAAGCAUUGAUUAGAAAUGGAUUCAAAAUCCAGGAGAUGAUUGGUGUUGGGUCAGGCAUGUUCAUUUGUAUAUCUUCUAUUUUAGGCACAGAACUAACAUCGCUUUGCACGAGUUUUCCAAACCCUGGCCACGUGAACUAAGUCAUCUGAUUGCUGGUAUAUCAGCAUCUAGAUUAUACAAAAUUAUCUGAACUUAUUUUCAUUCCUGCUGAUGCAAGUGCCUGGUGGGUCAAGUCCGGAGCAUGGACGCAUGACAAGGUAUGGCUUCCAUGAAAAGAAAACAACGUCACACUACCUCUCUUUUUGAUCCCUUGCCACUCAGCUGCUAACACAACUCUUCUCUCCACAAAUACCAACUCAGCUUUUAAUUUGAAACUGUUACGGAAGUUUCAGACAGGAAAAAUAAAGGAGUUAAAAGUGUGCCACUCUAAAAUAUGCCAAAUUAGUGUAUUGAUUACUUCAAGCUCAAAGCACUUUGGAAACUGUAGUUCCAGAAGUGACUAUCUGACCUGCCUUUUCCUGCAUCUAGCAAGCCAUAAAACUUCCAUGGAGAAAGAUGCCUUCCCUGUGCCAGGACAAGAAAAUAACCGUAUCCCCAGGCAGGUCUUGGUCCACAAAGAGAAUGCAUCUUUGCCAGAGGACCCAGCAUAAGUUCCAUAGACCUGCAAGCUGCCCUCAGGGCAUCUGGGACAUCUUCUGUUCAAGGACCAGCAGGUAAAAAGAAGAGUCAUUUUGGCAGGAGUAAUUGACCCUGAAGAGCAGGGGAAGGUAAGGCUGCUGAGCCCCAGUAGAGGCAGGGAGGGUUAUAUGGAGAAACUAGGGGAUUCACUUGGGAGCCACUUGGAACCACCCAAUGCAAUGGUAACUGCGAAUGGAUAUGUGCAGCAGUGUUGACCUCCCGGGAUGAAGGUUCAAAAGAUUUAAAACAAACAUUAUAGCAAGUGCUCUGGGUCCUCCCUGACUCCAACUUUUGUCUUUUUUAUUUUUCCUUCUCUUUAUUUUUUUAAAGUUAAAACAAAAUUAAUGUUAUAAAGAUGGGGUCUUGCUUUGUUGCCCAAGCUGGUCUCAAAGUCCUGGGCUCAAGUAUUCCUCCCACCUUGGCCUCCCAAAGUGCUAGGAUUAUAGGCAUGAACAACCAUGCCCAGCGCCCUCACCCAACCCCUUUUUAAAAAAACUAUAUACCUCUCACAGCCCAUGGCUAUCCAAAAACCCACAAGGUUUGUAAAGACGGUUCUCAGAAUUAUUGUUCUGUUGGUUAUUAGACUCCAAAGAAGGUACAAGUAAAUAUGAAUAGUCUCCAUCUAUGGGUUUUGGUUAAGGUGAACACUGGUGCUAAAAUUGAAAGGACAAGGACAGCUACUCAGAACGUUCCCAUCUUGUAAAAACCUUGACCCUGCUUCACUUGUGACAUCACCUGGUCUUCAGGUACUCCCUCAUGUAGUUCAAUUGAAUAAAGCCUUUAACCUCUAUGUGAGUCACUUUAAAAAACAUAUAAUAUAUAUGUUUAAUAAUUUUGUGUUGUUACUUGGAAUAGUUUUGUGCAAAACGCCAACACUGCCCAGUUUUGUGCCAAAGACAGCAUUAUCAAAGAAC